ensembl:lncRNA
GAAGAAAGGCGAGCAGAGUUUAAACCACAGAAUGGAGGAUAUCCUGUUGGGAACCAAGCAGGCGUUCCCUGUGUCCCGGGUUCCUGGGCUCCAGGCUGAGGGGUGACAGGACCCCAGGUGAGCUUCUCAGAGCACCCUGGGCUGAGGGACCCGCCCUGACCUCGUUCAACUGCAGCCGUGCCUCCCCAGACACAGUGACUCCGGGGCUGCGUUCACUAGAGGAGUUCACUUCCGGGUCAAGGGAGGAGUUCACUUCCGGGUCAAGGGGAGGCACUGACGCCGUUUCCACAAGGAAACCCACAUUCUGGGCUGCGGAGCAGGCCAUUUUGCCAUGGCGACGUGACUGCCAAUCAGCCAUGUCCACGGUGCCCAGCACUCUCCUGGACAACAGGUUUUUAGCCGUCUCUAUUGACAAAUGAUCAUUCUCUUGUUCCAACAACAGAAGAAGAAAGGUUGUGGGAUUUUCUUUUUUUUUUUUAAGACCUCUGGGUUUGCUUUGGGCAAUUCAAAUGCACAAGUGAGUUUAGUUUCAAUUUUAAAAGAUCUUAAAUUUCAC